CACAGAGGGUGGCUGCUGUCAUUUGUGUGGGAAUGCGUGUUUUAGGUUCCAGAAGUUUGCCAAAUAUCAAUUCUGUGCACAAAAUACGUUCGUCGUCAGCGCUUCCUGCACGUUGGCAGAGCUUAUAAGGGGAAAUGUUUCUUUCCUCUCUCCUUUAUUGUGGUCAGUCCUUUCUGGCUCCCUAUAUUAUUAAUAUUGAUUGUUGUUGUUUUUUUUGUUGCCAAAUGGACCAAUCAAAGGUUUUUCAAUGAAAAGUACAAUAAAAACAAAAGAUAGGAUAAGCGCUUUAUGAACAUAUGUGAGAGAUCAAAGAAAUAGCUGCAAACACUAAAUGUAAG